rnacentral:lncRNA from 1 species
GCGCAUGCGCGAUCGCCGCGCGGACUCUCUGUUGGAUAUCAUCCUCCUCUUCCUCCGCUCCUCGGCCCAGCACAGUCGCUGCUCUUCCGCCUCGACCACGCUGUUGUUUGGAAGGCCGACUUCAUGCAUCAACGGCGAGCACUGAGCUUGGUUCGGGGAGCAACAUCCAAAGAGAUCGCUCAGGUGGAAGGAGGGGAUGCCGUUGUUUGGAAGGCCGACUUCAUGCAUCAAAGGCGAGCUCUGAGCUUGGUUCGGGGAGCAACAUCCAAAGACAUCGCUCAGGUGGAAGGAGGAGGGGAUGCUGUUCUCAGCCAUGUGGUACUGAGACUGGCAAGAAGGCAUACACGAUGGUGAAAGGUAUCUAAUGCUGGCAAUCUCACCUGGAUACAUGGUCACAAAUUUUCCGGAGAAUGGAAGAUCCAAGAAAGAUC